UUUUAUUUUGUGCUACCCUGAACAAGCCUGAUCCCGUCUGAUCUCGGAAGCUAAGCAGGGUUGGGCCUGGUUAGUACUUGGAUAGGAGACCACCUAGGAAGACCAGGUGCUGUAGGCA
rnacentral:rRNA from 1 species